UACGUAGGGACCAAGCGUUGUCCGGAAUCAUUGGGCGUAAAGAGCGUGUAGGCGGCUUGUUAAGUCUUGCGUGAAAUCUCGGGGCUCAACCCCGAGCGGUCGUGAGAAACUGGCAGGCUAGAGUGCGGGAGAGGAGAGUGGAAUUCCUGGUGUAGCGGUGAAAUGCGCAGAUAUCAGGAGGAACACCAACGGCGAAGGCAGCUCGCUGGGACGGUACUGACACUGAGGCGCGAAAGCGUGGGGAGCGAACAGG
rnacentral:rRNA from 1 species